rnacentral:rRNA from 1 species
AGAGUUUGAUCCUGGCUCAGAGUGAACGCUGGCGGCAUGGUUAAGACAUGCAAGUCGAACGAGAAGCAAAACUUCGGUUUUGUGGACAGUGGCGAACGGGUGCGUAACACGUGAGCAACCUGCCCCUAAGUACGGAAUAGCCCACCGAAAGGUGGAUUAAUACCGCAUGUGUCCCUUUUUCGCAUGGAGAAGUGGAUAAAGCUUGUAAUGGCGCUUAGGGAUGGGCUCGCGGCCUAUCAGCUUGUUGGUGAGGUAAAGGCUCACCAAGGCUAAGACGGGUAGCUGGUCUGAGAGGAUGAUCAGCCACACCGGGACUGAGACACGGCCCGGACACCUACGGGUGGCAGCAGUUUCGAAUCAUUCACAAUGGGCGAAAGCCUGAUGAUGCAAUGCCGCGUGGAGGAUGACGGCCUUAGGGUUGUAAACUCCUGUCAUUAGGGAACAACAAGCAGGUUUAUAGCCUGCCCUGAGUUAACCUAAAGAGGAAGAGGUGGCUAACUCCGUGCCAGCAGCCGCGGUAAUACGGAGACCUCGAGCGUUACUCGGAUUUACUGGGCGUAAAGGGUGAGCAGGCGGCCAGGUGUGUUAGGUGUGAAAUCCCGGGGCUUAACCCCGGAACUGCGCCUAAAACUACCUGGCUAGAGUCUCGGAGAGGACAGUGGAAUUCUAGGUGUAGCGGUGAAAUGCGUAGAUAUCUAGAGGAACACCAGUGGCGAAGGCGACUGUCUGGACGAGUACUGACGCUCAAUCACGAAAGCGUGGGUAGCGAAAGGGAUUAGAUACCCCUGUAGUCCACGCCGUAAACGUUGUGCACUAAGUUUUCGGAAGAUUCGACCCCUUCGGAACUUCAAGCUAACGCGUUAA